rfam:Oryza sativa (indica cultivar-group) chromosome 10, whole genome shotgun sequence.
AAAAAGGCAAACCCUGGGUUUCCGUAUCCAAUUUUGACUGUCCGUCUUACAUAAAAUUUUUUUAUAAUUCGUAUUUUCAUUGUUGUUAGAUGAUAAAACAUGAUUAAUGUUUUAUACGUGACUUGUCUUUUUAAUUUUUUUUAUAAUUUUUUUAAAUAAGACGGACGGUCAAACGUUGGGCACGGAAACUAGGGUUUGUGUUUUUU